GAUGAGCUGGCAGAAAAUUAUGUGUUUGGUUUAGGACUAAAUUAUGGGUUAAACCCGUUCAUUU
rnacentral:tRNA from 1 species